rnacentral:rRNA from 1 species
CUCGUAGGCGGCCAACUAAGUCAGACGUGAAAUCCCUCGGCUUAACCGGGGAACUGCGUCUGAUACUGGAUGGCUUGAGAUUGGGAGAGGGAUGCGGAAUUCCAGGUGUAGCGGUGAAAUGCGUAGAUAUCUGGAGGAACACCGGUGGCGAAGGCGGCAUCCUGGACCAACACUGACGCUGAGGAGCGAAAGCCAGGGGAGCGAAACG